ACUUUUUUACAACAUAUCAAGACGCAACCUUGUUAAUAACAAGAAGCAAAGAAGCAAAUGCAAACUACCAACAAUUCCUGGAUGAACUAUUUGCAGAGAUCCAUCAAUUAGA
rnacentral:sRNA from 1 species